CCCCGCCGGGGCCCUGGAUGGGCGCCAACGACCACAGGCCCCACCGCCCGGGACCCGGCCCGACUCCAUGAUGGAAGGGAGGGCCGAAAACGGCGCCGAGGGGCUCGGAGAGCCGCUGCCUGGGAGGCGGCGCUCUGGGGAGCCCCAGAGGGACCCGCCAUCCCCGGCUGGCGCCGGCCUCCCCUAACUGUGUUCUGGCACUAGGCUGGGCCGGCCCAGGAUUUCUGGGAGAAACAGGAAGGGGCUUGUAACCGUGCAACAGUGGCAGAGACUCGGCCACCGGAACUAGGCCACAGCGGAAGCCCCGGCCCGCCGAGGGAGAGGCCAGAACGAGGCCAGGAAGGAGGGGAUCAGGAAGACGGGACCCCCCCAGUCCCCGCCCAUCUCUAGAAAAGGAAACCGAGGCCACACAGGGGUGCUAUUCCUGCCCCCAUGUUACAGAUGAGGAAACUGAGGCAAACAGCAGGCCAGGCACCCACUAAUAAGCGUCAGAGCUGGCCCAGCACAUCAGGCUCUCUCCCUACCGUCCUUCAGCUUCUCGUCCUCGGGAAGAGGCCCAUCAGGGAAGAUGUCAGAAGCCAGGAGGGCGGCCCGGGAGUCCUCCAGCACCUACAGAGGGACAGGAGGGGUCAGGCUCAUUCAGCUUACGAGGAGGAGGUGGCACGAGGGCUGAUCCAGGCUGGCAGGCCUGAGGCCGAGCCCGUCACAGCGCCCUGUGGCAAACAGGAGUGGCUGCUGGGGGGCGCCAUGGGGCACACGGCGCUGCCAUCACGAAGACCUGAAUUCGAAUCAAGUCUUGGGCAAAUUUCCUCUGCGCUGUCUGCCUCGGUUUCCUCAUCUAUGAAGUGGGGACAGUGACUGACCAGAGCCGUUGUGAGGCCCGUGGCAGCCACUUAGACCCCCCUCGCCUAGAGGCAGGAACCCCUCUUCAGACCCUCUGUGACUGCAGCUUGGGGGACAAUAAAGAUGGCGCCGAAA